rnacentral:rRNA from 1 species
CACGUAGGGCGCAAGCGUUGUCCGGAAUUAUUGGGCGUAAAGAGCUCGUAGGCGGUCUGUUACGUCUGCUGUGAAAACCCAGGGCUUAACCCUGGGCUUGCAGUGGAUACGGGCAGACUAGAGGCAGGUAGGGGAGAAUGGAAUUCCCGGUGUAGCGGUGAAAUGCGCAGAUAUCGAGAGGAACACCAGUGGCGAAGGCGAGUCCCUGGACAACUCCUGACACUGAGGCACGAAAGCUAGGGGAGCAAACAGG